GGCUUGUUAGAUGGUGGUGGGUUAUCAGAGCUUAUUAACAUCAGUAUCACUAAAGUUGGUGUUCUUUAAUACCAACUACCUGCUAAAUUUGACUGGCUUAAA
rnacentral:Y_RNA from 1 species